CAAACGUCUGCUAUCUGGACACGACUGCCCAGAUGGAGGAGAAUCAGUGUCCGUGGAGACUACCGUAAUUAUAGACCUGCCACUAUUUUCUACCUGAAGGUUUCUCAGCACGGCCCAGAUGUUGGCUUUGAAGCAUGGUUGCAUUACGCCCUCCUUCCGAAGAAACACUCUGCUCACAAGAUAUCUUUUCAACCUCAACUCCUUUGCAGCAACACAGAAACAGAGAAACAAUGAAAAAAGGACAUGGAGACUUUAAAUGGCAACACACACAAGUACUCAGCACACAGGAUUUCUCACAGAAACUUCAAAAUGGGAAGGGACUAUGAUAGUGAUGAAGCUGGAUGGUCCCGCCCCAGGAACCAUGACAGACAACAACAUGAGAAUGGCAUGCAGGAAUGCGGGGGACCUAAACUCCUUCCUCAGAAAAUGGCUUUCUGCAGAGCCUCAACUAUUGGACACAAUCUGAUUAGGUCUUUUCUUUCCCCCCUCUACUUGACACAAGUUAGGGUCAUCUGAGAAUAGGGAACGUCAGCUGAAAACAUGUCUCCAUAAAAUAAUCAAGGGUCAUUUUCUCAAUUAAUGAUUGGUGUGCGUGAACCUAGCUCACUGUGGGUGGUGCCAUCACUGGCCAGGUGCAUACAUCAACAACUUCCACCCUCCAAACACCUGUCCACUUACUUGGAGUCAAGAAUCUCAGUGCAGGGAUGAAAGGAUAUCCUGAAGACUCCAGCUGAGUGAUGUCACAGGUUCCAGAAGUAUUCAAGCCUACAGCUUCGCAUCUACUGCACGACUCCCAGCUGCCUAUUCCACCCUGUCCAGCAGAUCUCAAGCACCCCAAGGACGUGUGAGCAUUCUUAAUCCAUCUCACUUCCAAGCAUUUUCUGGUAGUCAUCACUGGAACUUGAAUACCUCUGAAUCUUAAGAGAGUGGCUUCCAUAAAUGAAACCUGUCCAUAUAACUCCUGCUCUGGACUUGAGACCUUAUAUUCUAUCAUCAUUUUCCAUUAAAAUCAGAUAGAAGAACAGCUAGCAAAAAGUCUCAAAGCACUGUAAUCCCAGACAUCGCUUGCAUGGGAAUUGAGAAGUGUGAGUUCCUGUGGCACCCUCCACUUACCUCUCCACGGUCAGUAGAUGUCUUUGCACUUACUGGAAUCUGUGAAUAAAGAAGGCUGUGAGUGAAAAGUCUCCCACUACCCUGAACAGGUCUUGAAUUCACAGGGCUUCCCCGGGCUCUUUAGUGGAUGUGCCUGCGGACCCUAUGCCUUUGAGAAAUUCCAACUAAGAGCCCAGCCCCGGUUGCACUCUAGGACUCGUGGCGGGGGGUACGGGGGGGGGUGAUCACGUGUUACGCACCUGUGC